rnacentral:rRNA from 1 species
UACGGAGGGGGCUAGCGUUGUUCGGAAUUACUGGGCGUAAAGCGCACGUAGGCGGCUUUGUAAGUUAGAGGUGAAAGCCCGGGGCUCAACUCCGGAAUUGCCUUUAAGACUGCAUCGCUAGAAUUGUGGAGAGGCAAGUGGAACUCCGAGUGUAGAGGUGAAAUUCGUAGAUAUUCGGAGGAACACCAGUGGCGAAGGCGGCUCACUGGUCCGGUACUGACGCUGAGGUGCGAAAGCGUGGGGAGCAAACAGG